CUUUCACAUCACAACUUCCCAAUAGGAUUGUUAUAUUUACUCUGACUGGUGAACAUGAUUGGCGCGCACAGUGUUUGCUUGGUGAAGAUCUGUGUAGAUUGAAAGGCAAAAAAUUCCCAGCAACUGGCAAGUCAUGAGUGGGGCAGGGUGGAUGCCCACGUUCUACAUCCCAUGGUCCAACUUAUUCAGCUCUACUAUUAUCAUGGCUGAAAAUUUCUUUCUGCAGUCAAUCAGGGAUCAAGCAAACUGGUGAGAAGAGUGUAGAUGAACAGAUGUAAGUAUCUGUAGAGUGAAAAGAAGACUGAGAGAAGAAACAUGCAAGGAACAAAGAAGAAAGACAACUGCCACCCAAAAUGGAGCAACUGGAAAACUGUAAGUACAGUCAUGUAUUUCUAACAUUCAUAUUAAUAUAAUGCUGAGAUAAACUUUUAACAAGGUAAUCUAAUUCCUAGAUCUCUCUGAAGUUGGAGGAGCCAGUGUAAAUGUAUGCUGCUUUAAAUGAGAAAAAUGUAGGCCUCUGAGUGUGGUAUAUGUUUGUGGUCUUGGCAUGUGUCCUAAAGGCCAGACAUUUACAGAAGGGAGAGACUUUAUAAAAGCCUAUACAUACACAACUCCUUCUCCUUGACGCUAAAGAAACAAGCUAACCAUCCAGUUGAAAAUUUUAAGGUAUCUGAACAUACCAGUUGGUCAUAAGAUAAAUGGCUGUUUAAGGGGAGAUGAGACCUGUUUAUGCCUAAUUAGAUUAUUGCCAGCUGUAUCUGUAUGGUUUAGGUCUAGUGAGACCCAAGAACAUCUGGUCCUCAUAAAGGCUGUGAGCACAAAGAGGGAUUUUGGUUGAUGGGAAGAAUUCAUUGUUCGUGUGACUGCUAGGCAGAUGGUGAAAAGCGUGAGGGUAGAAAAGUUCCUCUGGGAGUCUCUGAUUAAGAGAAACGUGUAAGAGUUAGUUUCUGAAAAAUGUUGUCUAUCUGAGCUGGAGGAAGCUUCUGCCCAAUAAACUAUUUCCUGAGGUAAAUUGUAUUUGAAUG
rnacentral:lncRNA from 1 species